AUACGAAGGGUGCAAGCGUUACUCGGAAUUACUGGGCGUAAAGCGUGCGUAGGUGGUUGUUUAAGUCUGUCGUGAAAGCCCUGGGCUCAACCUGGGAAUGGCGAUGGAAACUGGGCGACUAGAGUGUGGCAGAGGGUAGUGGAAUUCCUGGUGUAGCAGUGAAAUGCGUAAAGAUCAGGAGGAACAUCCGUGGCGAAGGCGACUGCCUGGGCCAACACUGACACUGAGGCACGAAAGCGUGGGGAGCAAACAGGAUUAGAUACCCUGGUAGUCCACGCCCUAAACGAUGCGAACUGGAUGUUGGGUGCAAUUUGGCACGCAGUAUCGAAGCUAACGCGUUAAGUUCGCCGCCUGGGGAGUACGGUCGCAAGACUGAAACUCAAAGGAAUUGACGGGG
rnacentral:rRNA from 1 species